UGCCAGCAGCCGCGGUAAUUCCAGCUCUAAUAGCGUAUAUUAAAGUUGUUGCAGUUAAAAAGCUCGUAGUUGGAUUUUGGUGUCGGACAGGCGGUCGGCUUUUGUCGUACUGCCCUUCUGACGCCUUCCUUCUGUGGACUGCGUCACUCUUAACUGAGGGGCGUGUGGACGCAGAUCGUUUACUGUGAGUAAAUUAGAGUGUUCAAAGCAGGCCUUACGCUUGAAUACAUUAGCAUGGAAUAAUAGAAUAGGACGUCGGGCCUAUUUUGUUGGUUUAGGGACCGUCGUAAUGAUUAAUAGGGACAGUUGGGGCCGUUCAUAUUCCGUAGUCAGAGGUGAAAUUCUUGGAUUUACGGAAGAUGAACUACUGCGAAAGCAUUCGGCAAGGAUGUUUUCGUUAAUCAAGAACGAAAGUUAGGGGAUCGAAGACGAUCAGAUACCGUCGUAGUCUUAACCAUAGACUAUGCCGACUCGGGAUCAGCAAGUGUCGUUCACGACCUCGCUGGCACCGUGUGAGAAAUCAAAGUCUUUGGGUUCCGGGGGGAGUAUGGUCGCAAGGCUGAAACUUAAAGGAAUUGACGGAAGGGCACCACCAGGAGUGGAGCCUGCGGCUUAAUUUGACUCAACACGGGGAAACUCACCAGGUCCAGACAUAGCGAGGAUUGACAGAUUGACAGCUCUUUCUUGAUUCUAUGGGUGGUGGUGCAUGGCCGUUCUUAGUUGGUGGAGUGAUUUGUCUGGUUAAUUCCGAUAACGAACGAGACCUCAGCCUACUAAAUAGUAACGCCUGCUUCGGCAGGUGGAUUACUUCUUAGAGGGACUUUUCGAGUCAUCGAAAGGAAGUUUGAGGCAAUAACAGGUCUGUGAUGC
rnacentral:rRNA from 1 species